CUUUUUUUUCCUAGCUAUGCUUAGGAAACUCCCUAAUUGUCAGAAUGAAAGAAAGUGGAGGAGGAACCAGAAUGCUUUUAGAAAAGGGAUCAAAGCAAAGCCGAGGAGGACUUAAUUUAGUACUGUUGUAAGGUGGGGGUGGGGGUGGGGGACAGACAGUUUCAAGGUCUCCCUUUUCGCAUUUUUAACUCUAAGAAUUCGGAGUAAAAGGUGACCAUGGGGUAAAACAUGCCUUUCUUUUCUUUUUUUUUGUCUUUUGGAGACUGGUCCUGGCUGUGUAGCUCUGGUUGUUCGCAGACUCACUCUGUAGACCGGGCAGGCCUUGAACUCACCGAGAUCCUCCUGCCUCUGCCGGUGGGGUGGGAAUCAAAGGCGUGCGCCAGCGCACCCUGCAAAAGGCGGUGCCUUCUUCCCCCUUGUUGGGCGUGGGUUAAGGAACACUUGCUCUCUGUCUGCCUCCGGAGUGCGGGGAUGGCAGGGAUGGAUGUCCACGCCGUGCUGUGCGCGCACCCUCCGAUGGAGUUUUCUGCCGCGAGUCAACUGAUGGCUUGGACGCACAGGUCUGUCGGUGGUGUGAAAAGGCGGCCCCUCUCAGAGGUGAAACUCAAGGCCGAAGACUCUUCCGGUACUAGAGAUUGGCUUAUUCUUGUCAGCAAAGUAAAGUGGGGUAGUUUAAUUCUCAAGGACUCAAAAUUUCAAACUGUAGUACACAGACUGCGAUGGCUGUGAAGAAUCCGUACAUUUGUGUUUCUGUAGGGAUGGGAAUAAAAAGGACUUUAUCUCCUCCAUCAGUCAGUCAGUCAUCGAACACGUACCGUGUUGAUUGCUGAUGGUGUAUGGAUGGAGAAACAGUGUCUGCUUCCUGGACUCCUCCAAACUAGCUGAGAAGACAACAUCGGGGUCCAGUGUCACCCCGAAUGCCUGUGUAGGGUCCUGUACCAUCUGACUGCUGUAGCCCAAGGCUCACUUACAACAGGCAGUGAUGCUGAAACAGAGGCUUAGAUGGGCAGGAAGUGGCCUUUCAAUUAGGUGUUGAAAAGCCCCAGAACUCAGCAGGGGGUGCAGAGGCAUCCCUGUGACUGUGAGACUUGGGGUGCACGUUGCGAGUGGCAGAAUUGGAGCCGGUACUUAUUUACAGAAGGGCCUCCGUGGAUCUAAAGAACUUGAACUUUCAGGUCAAACGUGACGUCCCUGGAGAACAGUGUGUGUAGCCACUAGUUUAGGGGACGCUUCCUAAUAGACUCGAGUUCCUCCGUUAAUCUCGUGUGACCCAUGUUUUCCUGGACACAUCUUCUGACCUCCAUCCUGUGUGGAUCCCCAAGAGCCUGUGCACAGAAAAAUAAGCUCUCGUGAUGGCAGCGUGCACCCUAAACAGAUGCCAGGGAUCCUGAGGAGCAGCUGAUCAGCAGAGAGUCUGCCCUGCACACAAAGCCUCCCACAGAUACCUAAGGUGAGGAAGUGACCUUCAGGAGAACAGCCCUGAAUGAUCAUGAUGGGACACAGCUGUAACCCCAAAGCUUGGGAGGCAGCGGCAGGAGGACCACAAGUUUGAGGAUCUCAUGACUAGGACCAGUGCCUGCCGGAAGCAGGACCUAAGGAACAUUUAUAAAAGAAAUAAGUCGAUUGUAUUUUUGUGACUAUGACAAACAAAUGAAGGAAGAAAUAACUUGAUUGGUUUCUACAAGGCUGACUCAAACCUUCCUCUCGGUUUGAAAAUCCAUUGCGGGGAGAGCGUACAGAUAGCGUACGGAAGCGAUACUUUCCAGCAAUUUGAGAACUAUUCUUGGAACACUCUGAAUGGAUCCUGGCUUUCAAGAUGCAAGCUCCGAAUCCGAUUUUUGGCUGCAGAAUUUGGCUGCAGAAUUUGGCUAUAAAAGGAGUUUCCACAGUCUAUCUUCUAAUCAGUCUGUUAUAAAGCGUGGACAGUGGCUCCUUUUUCUUAUAUGUGAAAAUGAGGUAUUGGAACUGAAGCACCGUGUUCAGUAACAGCUCGGCUUGUGUUUAUCACCAGCUUUAAAUUACCUGGCUGAAAUUCUUCCUAGACAGUGAUGGAGGUCAGUGUAUUGGCGGUUUGCAACCCUAGUUAAAAAUCUGUGUUUGAACACCCCGCUGCCCAGUUCCUUUUGCCUGUUACUGUUGUGUGCCCAUGAAGGUAAAUACGUGUUGAUUCAUAUCUGAAAUGCUUAUUAGUGUUACUCAUAUUAAUGGUUGAAUCUGGUCACUAAACGUGAUUAUUAUUUAUAAUAUCUGACAUUAUAUAUAUAUAUUUGUGUGUGUGUGAUUGGAAAUUAUUUACUAUUAUUAUUUAAUACACUUAUAAAUUUAUAAAGCAUCUUUUCAAAACUUUCAGUUUUAUUUAGUGUAAUUGUGCCUGUGUAUGAUAUGUGUGCCUGUGCCACAGCACAUAUGUGGGGGUCAGAGGUCAAUAUUUGAGAGUCUUGGGCUGGAGAGAUGGCUCAGUGGUUAAGAGCACUGACUGCUCUUCCAGAGGUCCUGAGUUCAAUUCCCAGCAACCACAUGGUGGCUCACAACCACUUGUAAUGAGAUCUGGUGCCCUCUUCUGGCCUGCAGGGACACAUGCAAGCAGAAUACUGUAUACAUAAUGAAUAAAAAAAAAAUUAAAAAAAAAAUAUUUGAGAGUCU